UGCACUAGUUUUAACGAACUAGAAAACAGUUUUUAUCGUUAUUUCACUAAAGGUAAACGUUUACUGUGUCACCGGUCUAAUGGUUUCUAAUGUUUUAAAGCUUGUUAAAGGAUGCCGAAUGAGAAACAUGUAUCGACGUACUCAAAACAAAGCCAAAUUCUUGCCCAGCGUGGUAGUCAGACUAUAGACUUCCUUCGAGAUCCGUAGAUUCAAAAUAUGCUGCGGAUUACAUCUGGGAUUACCACAAAACUUUAUAAAAUACGUUUUUGGUGUCCACUAAUAUAGCACUUGAUGACGGAUGUAAAGAAUAAGUUGGACAGAAGAAGAUCAAUGUAGAAGUUCUAUUACAGACUAAGUAAAUACUCAAAUUAUUGCUCAUCAUAGAAAAGGGGAAAAUGUCACGUAACUAUAAUGAGCAAAAUCGCUGGCAAGAGAAGGAUCUAGCGCAGAAAAAAGACUUGGUUUCGUAAUAUCCGAGAGUGGACGAUCAUUGUGAGUGCAGCUGAAUAAUUCCAUUUCGCAAGAAAGAAACACAAAUCCCAUGAGCUGUUAACUAGUCUUUACUAAUUGGAGACCCACUAUAAGAUCGAUGAUACACAACGUUAUAUUAUAAUGGGUAUAUUAAGUCAAAACCCUAUCGAAUUUAGGCUUCAUUUAAAUAGGAAACGAUAGAUGUUUUUUAUAUUUUAUUCCUUUGCCUUCUAAUUUUAAAUCCUAAUUUUUUUGUUACAUAUCUCCUAAGUUUAUUUUCUAGUUUCUUCGCUUUUAUUUUGAUUUAUAAUAUUGCUACACUUAAUUUCUUUUUAUUUAUAUUACUUUUUAAGUUGCAUGAGUCUAUGAAUAUUUUUUUUUCUUUUCUUAAUGCUAAAUCGACUACGGAACCGCUUGACUUGAUUUUUCUAUUAACUACUCUAUAGCUUCAAAUAUAUUGGUAUGCGGAAUACCAGAAAACGGGAAUUUAAUGUUGGUAAAUAUCGGAAUACAUAUGAAUAUCUUUGAAAUUUACAUUUAUACGUGUUCUAAUAGCUUUAUUAGAUCAAUAUCAGAAAAAUGGGUCGUAUCAAUAGUGAAAUGUUCAGAAAGCGCGCCCCGAAGGGUCGGCGGCGGUCUUCGCGCGGCCCAAAUGUUUUUAAGAAAUUGCAAAUGUCGUGGAAACGCUGACUUGACACGAUCGAUGUAAAGGAUUGUCUACUUGUAGACGUGGUGGACCCAAUCUCGUAAUAAUAUGCUUGGGAACGGACAUUGUAGUGAAUCAACAAUCCUUACUUUUUCACUAAUGCAGGAUAAAAACUAAAGUUUUUGCUUUCUUUCAUAAUAUGUGUAUAUAUAUAAUUCUAACACUAAAAUCGAUUUUCUUUUUAAAUAUGGCCUAAAAAUGUUAAAAAUUUAGAAAUUCCCAUAAUUAUCAGUUGGCUGCUACGUGUUAGUAUGGGAGACUAUACAUUUUGAUAUAUUUUUUUUGUUUUUUUCUUUUUGUUGGGAACAAUGCUUAGUUUCAACGGUAGAAUAUUCUAUUAGAGUUUUCUACUUUACCCGUUUACUACUUUUAUUAUAAGUGUUUGAAAAGGUGUUUGUUACUAAAUUUCCUUUAAAUGGAUGAAUGCAUUUAAAUGAAAUUUGAUACACAAAUUCUAUCAUAUAUAAUCUACAUAUACAUAUAUAACCUAGUUUAAUAAAUUUCGCGAAACAUAAACAAAAAUACAAGUAAACUGGAAACCUACUCCAUUUGUAUAUCGCUUAAGAAAAUGUAAUCAUGAAGAAUACAAAUUCGAUUAAAAUACAGCCAUAACGGAAUCCUUAAAACCCACCCUAACAGGGAUCAAAGACAGCGAUCGCAACUUUAAAUUCCUUCACAAUAUUACAACAGUCCUCACGAAAUUCCCUCACAAUUGUAAUUAAUGCAACUCUCAAUCCGGAAAUAUCUGCGUACUCCAUCAAACUCGGCGCGAUCACAAAGGCAAUCAAAUGCUCACAAAAUAGUACUGUUCAAAUUAAACCGUGCAAAUUCUAACUGGGUACGAAAAUACCCCGGAUUCCACGAACAAGUGGCAAAAUUACGGAGCGACCCUUGCCUUUUAACCCUUCUUGUCAUUUGAAGAACAAAUUAAUCAUCAUCAUUUACAUGCAGCACCAGCGCCAAUAGCCAGAUUUGUUUCUACGAUUAUGUCACCCUCGCUCGUUAGAGGAGGGGUGGCCUGGAACAGAUUUGAGGGCAUGUAUUAAUAUUUUGCAGUCUUAAUUAGAGUUACAAUUCAUUGGGUCAUUAACAUUUAAAUAUUUUUUGUCUUUCGACUAUAAACCUUGUUUUAUUUUUAUGUUCCACUAAUUACUUUAAAUAUAUAUAAUUUUAAAAUGGUUAGAAAAAAUUAAAAUAAUUGAGUGAUAUAAAUGUAUAAUAAUAAUAUUAGUUUAUUUCAAAGUAAAUGAUACAAACACCUUUAAACAUAGGUGAAACCCUGUUCCCUAAAUAGGUAAAUCCUGUACUUUAGGAUAAGCAGUGCUCUUACCUGUACGGCAUAAUGACACAAUAAAUAUAACGCUUAAGGUAUUAUACAAUAGCAUAUAAUACAAUUUGUUUAAAUAAUAUUUUGUAGAUGAAUCAUGACUGUCUAAUUUGUGAGUAUAUGAAAUGGAUGAGUUAUUGUAAAAUGGCAGUCAUAACCUAUAUAUACUAUUAAUAAUAAGUCUUCAGUUUAACAAAAAUUGUCAGUGACUGGCUGACAAAAGAAUUGGCAGCCAAUUACUGACAAUUCUUUUGUCAGCCAGUCAGUAUAUAUGUUUUG